CCUGGCCCUUCUCACUGGAAGCCUGUUUUCAGGAAAUAUUCUGCUCAGGGGAUCAUUGUGGGGAGACUGGGCUCAUGCCCCAUCACAGAAGAGACUCCUCUGGGGCCCAAAUGCAAACUGGAGUAGCCCAAGGAGGCUGAGGGAGCUUUCCUCCACCUCAGCCAUCUGCCCUCGACUAAGGAAGCGGCAGGCUUGAGUGGACUGCUCCCGGGAAGCCACUUUCAUGGCGUCCCCUCUCCAGGGUGCCCAUCUACCUGGAGCGUCAUCAUCGUCACUGCUGGAGUCUUGUCUCCUGUUGCCAAUCCAAGCUCUGGAGACACAAGUACCACAAGAAAGGUGUUACCCAGAGGCACUCGCCCAUCCUCCCUGCUGCACCGGAGGCCACACCAGCUGCCACAGCAACUCCCUGCUCCGUCCUCUGCUUUCUCAGAACUAACCUGGGCUCUCUGGAAUCAGAGACCUUCAACAAGUCACUGCUCACAUUUGCAAAUGUUCACGUCAAGAGAGGACCCCCUUUCCACGUGCCACUCCCCUCUCUUCCGGAUCAUUGCAGCUCUCCCCACCAGCCUUAUCAAUGUGGGGCUCCAACCCUACAGGUCAGUGAUUCACAAACAGGCACUGUCCCAGGUUGGAGCCACUGCCACGAGCCUGUUCUGCACAGACGGGAAUGUUUCCUCUGCCUUGUGAGCGCAGGGCUAUCGGGCACUGGAAAUAUGCCUGAUGUGAUGAGGUACUGGAGAUUACAUUUGAAAAUUAAUUUAAAAUACAGAUGCACCUGGUUAAUGACUGUGGCACCAGGGAGUCCAGAACUGGGAUUCAGAGAUGAGGGAGACGUCACCUCCCCGCCUCUGGGUUUUCCUUCCAGUGUAGCCAUCAAUGGCCUAGUGUUAUCUUUCAUCCAGUACGUACUUCCUGGGCACAGGCAUAAGUAUCCAGUGCUCUGUGAGACCCUAGGGGUGCUGAACACUGAGUCACAUCCAGGUCCUAGAGGGGUUCACAUCUGGGGGCGAUGUGUAAACAGAGUGAAGGGCAUGGCCAGCAAAUCCUGUGCUGGAAAAUCAGGGCAGCUGGAGUGAGGGGAGGGGACACCCCACUGUCCCCAGGAGCCCACACACCAGCCGAAUUUGGCUUUUAAUUCACCUUUCUUGUGAUGUCUUUUGCUGAAUUUGCUGUCAUGAUUGUCCCGAUUAAAAGAGAGCAUUGUGUGUUCCCUCUAUAUCCAGAAGUGUGCAUGCAAGAUUGGAGUUACUUCUAUUUAAAAUAUGUGAUGGACUCAGAGGGGACAGUAAGGAUGGAAGUUUGCGUAUGGAAAAAUAGUUUGCGUUACUUUGUUUUUAUUUGAUGGUUGCUUUACUUGUGGUGCAGUGCACAGUAUAUUACCUGUACAGAUUGUUGCCUUCUGACAAACACUGUGUUACCACCGCCCAGAUAUGAACACCCUGGCAGCCGCUCUUUGGCUAAUUCCUAGGCAGUAACUUCCAAGAGACACUCACUAUUCUGGUCAUGAUCAACAUAUUUUAAAUUUAUUUUUAAACACUGUAUAAAUGGAAACCUACAGUAUGUACUCUUUUGUGCCUGAAUGAAAAUUACACGUGAAUAUCAUGUAAAUUUCACCUAUGUUCCAUUGUGAUGACACAUUCAGCAUUUUGUACUGCUCGGUCCUGUCCAUAUAUAACAUCUACAUUGUAGGAAGUUGGCACAAUGAGUUUUCACCCUCUAUGUUUUACAUUCACUCUGUUUAUCAUGAUGGUUAUAAGGGAGGAGACCUCCCCUUAUAUUGUCUUAUGCCCAAUUUCUGCCUCCAAAGAAAGAAGAAGUAAAAACUAAAAGGCAGAAAUGAAAUCCACAAGCAGACAGCCCAGCACCACACCCUGGGCCUGGUAGUUAAAGGUUGACCCCUGACCUAAUCGGUUAUGUUAUCUAUAGAUUACAGAGAUUGUAUAGAAAAGCACUGUGAAAAUCCCUGUCCUGUUCUGUUCCAUUCUAAUUACCGGUGCAUGCAGCCCCCAGUCACGUACCCCCUGCUUGCUCAAUCGAUCAUGACCUUCUUACGCAGACACUUUUAGAGUUGUGAGCCCUUAAAAGGGACAGGAAUUGCUCACUCGGGGAGCUCAGUUGUUGGAGACGUGAGUCUUGCCGAAGCUCCCAGCUGAAUAAAGCCG
rnacentral:lncRNA from 1 species